GGUCUUGUAGUGUAGGGGUUAGCACUCUGGACUUUGAAUCCAGCAGCGGCGGUUCAAAUCCGCCCAAGACCU
rfam:Meloidogyne hapla strain VW9 Mh10g200708_Contig964, whole genome shotgun sequence.